rnacentral:rRNA from 1 species
AUACGGAGGAUGCAAGCGUUAUCCGGAUUUAUUGGGUUUAAAGGGUGCGUAGGCGGAUGAUUAAGCGUGAGGUGAAAUGCCACUGCUCAACAGUGGAACUGCCUCGCGAACUGGUUGUCUUGAAUGCUCCUGCCGUGGGAGGAAUGUGUGGUGUAGCGGUGAAAAGCAUAGAGAUCACACAGAACACCGAUUGCGAAGGCAUCUCACGAAGGGGUGAUUGACGCUGAGGCACGAAAGCGUGGGGAUCAAACAGGAUUAGAUACCCUGGUAGUCCACGCAGUAAACGAUGAUUACUAGCUGUUUGCGAUACAAUGUAAGCGGCUGAGCGAAAGCGUUAAGUAAUCCACCUGGGGAGUACGUUCGCAAGAAUGAAACUCAAAGGAAUUGACGGGG